CAAGAGUUCAUAUCGACGGCGGUGUUUGGCACCUCGAUGUCGGCUCAUCACAUCCUGGGGCUGAAGUAGGUCCCAAGGGUAUGGCUGUUCGCCAUUUAAAGUGGUACGCGAGCUGGGUUUAGAACGUCGUGAGACAGUUCGGUCCCUAUCUGCCGUGGGCGCUGGAGAAUUGAGGGGGCUGCUCCUAGUACGAGAGGACCGGAGUGGACGCAUCACUGGUGU
rnacentral:rRNA from 1 species